ACCAAUCUCAAAUGCUGCCAUUCGAUGGCCAAUCAAUCGGCAUCCUUAGUUGCUAUAUGGUGCUCAUUCAUAACAUCUUUGAUAGUGCUUAUUUACCUUAUUUUCUUAUUGCUGUCUGUAUGUGAAUGCAAAUGUAUAACUCGAGCCCCUACCACACUAUGCCAUCAGAGCAAGAAAGGAAUGCUCCAGAAACACCACGGGGAAGAUUCACUGCAAGGGAACCCAGCCAAAUGUUGCAAGACAUUGCUGCCAACCAAAAUACCAAGAUGCUAACGGAGAUACUCAUGGAGGUGAAGCAAAUGUCACGGGACAUUCAGUUCAUCAAGACUGAAAUUGCCAAAUCCGCCAUGAAUAUUCCCGGAGCGGGAUCACAGAGAGAGGAGCCCUUCCCCAUUGUUCUGCCACUCGCCAAUGAGGAGCAGUUUGAUGAGGCUGAAGCUGCACUGAGGGAGGAAUCAGUCCGUCGAAAGAUGAUUACCCGCUUGGCAUUAGUCGGAGGGACCAAUGCCGAAAAUAUGAUCCGGCGAAUGCUAUCCGCUACCAUGGCAAUCAGUGUAGCAUGUAUUUUCAACUGGGCGGGAAAUGGACCGAAGAGGGCCUUCAAGGACACGUUAAUGUAGGACUGCAUGUUUGCGGCUGCUCGUCAAUUUGACCGCAAGUUGACCGAAUUGCAGUACAGGGAUGCCCUGCAGAAGUGGCUGCGUUACGCACCGGAGAGGAGUGGCGGGGUACCAAGAAAAGCCAAAGAUUAAGGACUAUUAAGGACAAAUGUUACUGUAAUGUUCUAAUUAUAGGGUUACUUAUAGGGUUAAUGUUCAUAAUUCCUUAAAAUGUUAAGAUGUUUGUUUAUAAUUGCUUUUGAAUAUUUAUUAAAUAACUUUGAAUAAUGGUCUGUUUUGUUGUUGUUUUUUUGUUCAUAG
ensembl:lncRNA